AGCAGUGUAGCUCAGAGGGUAGAGCACUGUCCUGACAUGUGAGAGGCCCUGGGUUCAAUCCCCAGCAAUGGUU
rnacentral:tRNA from 1 species